rnacentral:rRNA from 1 species
GACGAACGUUGGCGGUGCGCUUUAUACAUGCAAGUCGCACGCGAAAGGCCCCUUCGGGGGCCGAGUAAAGUGGCGAACGGGUGCGUAACACGUGAGCAACCUGCCCGGAAGUGGGGAAUAACUCCGAGAAAUCGGGGCUAAUACCGCAUGUCGCCUAGGCUCCGCAUGAAGCCAUGGUGAAAGUCGGCCUCUGCUUGCAAGCUGGCGCUUCUGGAUGGGCUCGCGGCCUAUAGCUUGUUGGUGGGGUGAUGGCCUACCAAGGCGACGACGGGUAGCCGGCCUGAGAGGGCGACCGGCCACACUGGGACUGAGACACGGCCCAGACUCCUACGGGAGGCAGCAGUGGGGAAUCUUGCGCAAUGGGCGAAAGCCUGACGCAGCGACGCCGCGUGAGGGAU